rnacentral:rRNA from 1 species
GNAUGGUGCAAGCGUUAUUCGGAUUUACUGGGUGUAAAGCGAGCGUAGACGGAUGGGCAAGUCUGAUGUGAAAACCCGGGGCUCAACCCCGGNACUGCAUUGGAAACUGUUCAUCUAGAGUGCUGUAGAGGUAAGUGGAAUUCCUAGUGUAGCGGUGAAAUGCGUAGAUAUUAGGAGGAACANCNGUGGCGAAGGCGGCUUACUGGACAGUAACUGACGUUGAGGCUCGAAAGCGUGGGGAGCAAACAGGAUUAGAUACCCUGGUAGUCCACGCCGUAAACGAUGNGUACUAGGUGUCAGGUGNNAUANCCCNUCCNNNCNGCAGCAAANNCAAUNA